AAGCUCGUAGUUGAAUUUCGGGAUUAGUACGUCGGUCGUGCCUUAGGUACGUACUGGUGUUACUGGUUCCUACCUUCUGACGAACCAUCGUGUCAUUAAUUUGGUGUGGUGGGGAAUCAGGACUGUUACUUUGAAAAAAUUAGAGUGUUUAAAGCAGGCUCGCGCUUGAAUACAUUAGCAUGGAAUAAUGAAAUAGGACGUUGAUCCUAUUUUGUUGGUUUCUAGGAUUGACGUAAUGAUUAAUAGGGAUAUUGGG
rnacentral:rRNA from 1 species